rnacentral:tRNA from 3 species
AAAAGUCCUAAAAGCAC